rnacentral:rRNA from 1 species
GUGCACCAGUCGAGAAUCUUCCACAAUGGACGAAAGUCUGAUGGAGCGACGCCGCGUGGUUGAUGAAGUCCUUCGGGACGUAAAGACCUUUAUGAGGGAGGAAGUAAUUGACGUUACCUCAUGAAUAAGGGGCUCCUAACUCUGUGCCAGCAGGAGCGGUAAUACAGAGGCCCCAAGCAUUAUCCGGAAUCACUGGGCGUAAAGGGUGUGUAGGCGGUUGUAUUAGUCCCUUCGUGAAAGCUCUCGGGCCUAACCCGGGAAACGCGGUGGAAACGGUACAACUACGAGGAUGCGAGAGGUAUAUGGAACUCAUGGUGUAGGGGU